AAUCCUUKUGKKGGUGGUAUUAACUUCGUKUGAUGUCUCGUGGAUUAGCCUCUAUGCSUGUCUUCARGGCGUUGGAGAUUGCUAUAUGGAAUGUGGCCCUUCCACCCUUGGCCUUUGGAGCUGCCACACGGCAUUCUCCUAUCUAAGGCUGUGGAAUGAGGGCCUCAUGAUAUUGUUGCAAAUGUGGCUCCUUCGAAAUCGGGUCUUGGUGUCGUGGCGCCUUUGCUCGAGUUGUGAUUUAUCCAAGAGGAUAGUGCCUUCAUCUUCAGUGCGACUUUGGUGCUUUCCCCUCCUGUCAUAUGAAAUGUAUGACUGUGGUGGGGUGAGAUCAUGGCUGCGUUGAGGACGUGCUACCUGGUUGAUCCUGCCAGUAGUCAUAUGCUUGUC
rnacentral:misc_RNA from 1 species